ACAGGUAAGGGCACGGCCCUGUCCUCUCCUGCACGUGCUGGAGCUCCAGAGCCCAGGGGGCCUCUGGCCUGCCCGCCCCCGUGGCCUGUGUCCUCUGCGCCUUGCUGGCCUCGCCACUACUGUCCUCAGCACCCGGUGCGGCCUGGGCCUCGAACGUCCUGUAUUUUAACUCCCCCAAAGCUCACGGCCACCUGAUGAGCUGCGAGUUCGCACUAGCAUUUCGCAGAUGGGAGACCCAAGGCCUCCAUGGAAGGGCUUGCCCAAGGACCAGGGCUGGGCAGGGGUGGAGGCGGGAGUGAGCCCACCGGGCCCACUUCGGGGCUCCUCUCCUUCCAGGACCGGCUUCCAGGACCCGUCCGCUCUCCGAGGGGCGCCAUCGUCCCUCCUGCCCACCAGGCCCGGGGCCCCAGAGAGGGCCUGCACUGCGGACGACCCAGGGGGCCUCGAGUCGCUGCCGGGGGAAGGGGAGCGGGAGAGGAAGACAGCUCACGGGCCUCCGCAUCAUUCAUGUAACCUAAUCUGGCUUCAGAGCCCCUUCCUGACGCCCCUUAGCAUUAAGCCCGGCAGGCCAGGUCACCAGACAGCCCGCUCAGAGAGGGGUCCUCUGGGGAGGGACUUGAGGCAAGUUUGUUUGGGGGAGAUGUAAUCACCCUCCAAGGGGCUUAUCUCCCUGUUUGAGGGGAGCGGGCGGUGUGACUGUGGCUUUGGCAAAUGUCCUGUCACGUGAGAUAUUUAUGACCGGCUUCCAGGCCGCAGCGCUCCCCCGAGGGGCAUGUCCACGAGCCAGGGCGGGAGCCACGGGGCGGGAGCACAGGGGGCGGGCAUGGCCCAAGGGCACACCGGAGCUGGCCAUCGGGCUGGGGUCUCUGGGUCCCCUGGGCCCGAGCCCAGGGAGCACGGGCAGGGGGACGGCUGGCCGGCGCGGCAGCCCCUCACAUCUCGUUGGUGUCAAUGACCUCAGCGUCUGACAUCACCCGUGACGCCUGGACACCAGGCUGGGCCGCGGGUAAUAACAUAGCCCGACUCCCAGGCCGACCACGGGGGCGGAUCAGCCGCCAGCCUGACCUUGAACAAGAGCUCGUGGUUCCUGGACCUUUGGGGCUCUGUGUCCCUGACUUUGCCAGAGGAGAUGAAAACGAAACCAUGUGUUACCCGUAGAACUAGAGCUCGGGGCUUGACAGUGACACUUCACGGCUCCCGGCCGGAGGGGCUUCCCCACGAGGCCAUUGUAAGGGUCUGUGCCCGCUCUGUGCUCCCGGGGGAAAGGUCUGCAUGAGGCCCCUGGGGGAGGGGUCCCUGCGGAGCUCCUGGCCUGCGCGCGGGGCUGGGAGCCCUUGAUAAACCCGCAAACGCAAAGACGUUUGCACACGCACGCUUACAUGCACAAGCACAGUGUGUCUGCACGUGUCCAUUGGGACCGGGGGCACUCCCAGAGAGAAGCCAGCUCCAAGAAGUGGGAUGGCUCAGAACCGGGGUCUUCCUGCGUUGCUCCCUACAUUCUCCUCCCAUUUCGAAACGAUGUCCGUGGGGGGUCCUGGAAAACUCCAAAUGUGCUCCUUUGGAGCGGGCCGGUGGGACUUUCUUGCCAUUAUUUGGCACCAAACUCGUGAAUGGGAGUGACAGGUGUCCCGGGACCCAACUUGCCUGCUUGCUCGCGGGUGGAGGGACGCUCUGGGAGGGGCCGGGACGGCUCCCAGGGGAAAGGAAAGGGGGCCUCGCUUUCCCAGAGGCAGGCGAGAGCAUUCCUGGGUGUCACGCCGGGGGCGGAGCUCUCCCCACAUCCUGUCCCACCUCACCUCGACCCUGCAAGAGCGGGAUAUGGGUGAGAUACCAGAACUUUCCUCCCUGGAGGGGACUGUGCAUGUCACGGCAGCCCAGGGGCGUUGAGGGGGAGGCCUCCAUGGCCAGGAAGUAGACACAACCCUAGGACCCUCCCCUUGGGACACCCAGCUCUUCCUGCCUUUGCUCUGGGAGGUGACCCACUUGGGGGCCGGGAGGGGCUGCCCCCAGACCUUCGCCCUGGUCCCCUCCUGGUCCCCAUGGAGUAAAGGGUCUGGCCCACGCCCACCCCUCCCUGUCCUGCCUCCUUGUCCACGCAAAGGCCCAGGAACUUCGGCUUGCCGGAUCCAGAGCUGGCGGGUGGAGAGGAAGCAACAGGCCAGCCAGGUCCAGAGCCUCCCGUCACCCCCAACCCUGGCUGCUGGACCCAGGUAGGAGGCCUUGUGGGGGUUGCUGGAGAAGCCCCAAAUGGGAAGCAGAGUGGAGGUGGUGAGAGUCAGCAGACGGAAGUGCAGGCCCCCAGGUAAACUUGAGUCUGGGCUGAGCAGGAGCCCGUGUUCCGGAUUCAGACGUGUCCUGCAGCGUCCAGGACACCCUUACACGGAGAAUGUACUGGUGGGUUCGCUGAAGCUCAUACUGGACAGGAGGGCUCAUGUUUAUCUGGCAACCCUGAGAAAAGCGUGGCCUCCCACACAGCCGGCUGAGGGGCUCAGGCAGGGGUGGCCCCUCCAAGAAUGGUGCCUGGGGUCCCUCGGACCACCUGCUCCUCAGCCUACAGGGUGGAAAUGUGGGGUCCCUCCCCGCUGGUCAGGCCUUGAGAGGUGGGGGUGGCGGUGCCAAGUCGGAGUCAGGCCUGAGCCCCAUAAUGUAACCCUCACAAGGCCAGAGCAGCUCAGGCUCUGAGGGGGGCCAGCACUUCCCUGACGCCCCUCAGAGACCAGUCCGUGGCUGACUACAGACGGUGCCUGGGUGGGCACGUGAUAGAUCCCUUCGCCCAGAGCUCAGCAGGGAGGGGCACUGUUGUGCUGGGCUGUCCCGCCUCAGCCAACUGCCCCUCCUUUGGGAGAGCAGGAGGGCAGGUUGGUGGACAGCCCUCCAGGCUGACCCCAGGGUGGCCGCCUGCUCCAGCCCUGAAUCUAACCCGUUCCAGGCUGCGCCUGCCUCCGAGGCACCACCCAGGGCUCACCAACCCCAUUCCUCAUGUGCAAAGAAUUUCCCGAGCGGCCGCCACUGCGCAGCUGGAACGUUUCUGCAGACGGAUCGUUGCGAAGAAACCCAGCGUCUCCCCGUCUCCUGAAGAUGCCGACGUGGGCUGGCGCCCCGGGCCCCGGAAGCCCCCUGCCCUGGCUUGACUUCCUUUGCAGAGCAGAUAAGGGGCUGCUGGCACGUUGUGGGGUGGAGGACGCACCCAGCACGCGGACAGGGAGGCGCCAGAGGCGGCCGCAGACUCGGGGGCAACUCCCUCCUCUUCUCCUCCCUCUGGGGCUGCAGAAAGAAGACGCCCCUCCACCCCCCAGCUGCCCAAAGACCACCUCUACACCUGGACACCCACUUCGCCCAGCCCCGCAGAGCAGUGCUCAGAGGGAUGCCUGGAGCACAGCCGCACCCACUCCUGGGCAGCCCCAUCUUCCGCUCAGUGGGCUGGGGCUGGGCCCGGCCGAGAGGAGCCGCUGUGCUCUCCAUGACUCCUGAGCCACGUACGUGGUAGGCCAGGCCUGGGGACACGCGGGCGACCCAGCAGGCCUGGCCCACUCCCAUGAGCCCGCGGUGUGGGGCCGACACGGAGAGACGCGGAGGAAGUGUCGGGGUGAGCCACACGGUCCGGCCCGGGAGCCCUGACGGAGGCUGGGGCUUGGGGCACUGCUGCGCGCCCCGCGCACGGUUCCUUCCUCUCUGACACUGAGAUCAGGGCCACAGACAGGCAGCUGGGUGGGCUUGCCUCAUUGUGUUUUAAAAGUGGGAAAAAAAUUAUGUGAAAAUCCAGAUUUAUUUUGUCUUGGAAAAACAAACAAAAUGCAGGGCACCCUUUGUCCCAGGUGAGGGGCUCCCCCUCGAACAGGCAGGGGCACUUCUCGUUGCCACAGACCCGCCUCUCUCUACUGUCUCGUCACUUCCUUGCGCAGUCCCUUUGUGACUGCCUCCUGGUUCAGAUAUUUCAGAGAGAGACCAGACCCCCCACAGGGAGGUCACUGUUUGCAGGAAGGUCAUUCCACCUGGGCCUAGAAGACGCUCAUCGCCAACGGACUCAUCGAUCUAGUGAGGCCUGCACCUCCUGAGCUGACUUCCUCCGUGAGAGCGGGCCACGAUGGGAGGGCAGCCAGGAGGCCCCCGGACAGGGACCUCUCGCCUGGGGACACAGGUCCCGUCUGCGGUGGCCUUGCAGCUCCCAGGUGUCUGCACGCUCCAGCCUCACUGGGACGCCCUUCUGGUCGGGGAACAUCAUUUGCAGGGCCCUCAGGCUCUAGACUUGGACCUGAACCUAUUUUGAUUCUGGGAGGAGGUCCGUCCACCUGGUUCUGCAGAAAGAGAAGCUGCAGGUUGGGGGCUGAGCCCAGAGAGGAGGUGAGCCAGCCCGAGGUCGCACGUCCCCAGCCUCCUGACCCCCAGCUCCAAACUCUGCCCUCUCCAUGCCUGAGGCCUUGCCAGGGGACAUCCCGGGGUCAGUGCCAGCCCGGGCCUGCCUUCUUAGAGCUGAGUGUUUCAGGUCAAAGUUGCAGACCUGGAAGAAGCGAAACAGAACCUUUGGCCCCAGUGCGGCUCCACCACACCUUCCUCCUGCCCAGGCGGGGCAAGGGCACACCCUUUCACUGCCUACUGCCCAGCUGUGGCCCUGAGUUGUGUGGCCACUGACUGGGUGACCAGAAGACUUGGGGAUCAUUGCAAAGUGAGCAUGGGACCUCAACCCGUUGGUUUUGAGUGUACGUGUGUUGUGUCCACCUUCAAAGAGUGGCCCCCCAGAGUGCAGCCCCGCAUGGCCGGCGUUCUGUUUGUCCGGGGCAAGUCAGGGCCCCCAUGAGCUUUGGCUUCCUUGUCUAAGGAGUGGGGGAGAUGAGCCUAAGCUCCCAGCGAGGCUGGGUUAGGAGCUCAGGCUGGCCUGAGCCAUCGUCACCAUCAUCAAGCACGGAGAGCCGCCGGGCAUCACCUGCAUCCGUCCUGGAACCAGCCCUGCUGGGGGGCCUCUUGCCCCACACUCCAGCUGGAGGCCAGCACAGGGCUUGGCAAGGAAGAGCCAGGAGCCUCUGGGCAGUCAGACCCUCGGGGAAGAGCUUCUCCGCCACACGACUGUGGUCUGUUGGCCCCACAGAGGAAAGGGCGUUGGGCCGGGGCCAGCCUCUGAGAGCUGGUCUGGAGAGCUCACAGCCGAGUGUCUCUGCUGGUACGCCCUUGACUGAAGCACGGCUGUCAUCUAUCGGGGAGGGUCGUCCUCUUUGGUGGUCGCUCACCAUCAGGAGGGACGCACGCGGGGUGGUGAGGGGGAAGGGGACGCCUGCCCGGCCCUGGUGAUCACUGGGGUUUCGGGUGCCGCGGCCGGAGCGCCCUCCCAUCGCAGGCAGGACGUGGCGUGCGGGCAGAAGUCUGUGGAGCGAGGUGAGCGGAAAGGGCUUUCUGGGCAGAGGCAACCGACGGAGCCGUCUACCGGUGAGCAGCGCACGCGCGUGGCUGGGGGACACCAGGCAGAAGAGCUGGCAUUCCAUCCGGAAGGAGGUGGGAGCCAAGGUGGGAAGAAUAAGUUGUUUCUGAUCAUUUUUCUUCCUGGUCAAGGCGCAGCAGUCCAUAGGAUCGCCUUUUGACCUUUGACUUACGAAAGGAAGCCAAGUUCACAUUCACAGUUGGGACAAUACUGACUUUCUGGAAAAAAGCUUCCUCCCCGUGAACAGGCUCCCAGAAAGCCCCGGAAUCUCGCUCCCGACGUCCCGUCCCUUUGUAUGGACACUCGCGUCCUCUGUGCGGAAGGCGCCGCUGUUCGGGCGGAGCGCGUCUGACCCCCACACGGUUCGUGUUUUCUUUCCCUGCCCAGUGCACGUGCCAUCCCUCCUCACGGGCACAUGUAUUUUUAAAAAGAUUUACUUACUUUUCGAGAGAGACA